AUUGAACGCUGGCGGCAGGCCUAACACAUGCAAGUCGAACGGUAACAGGAAACAGCUUGCUGUUUCGCUGACGAGUGGCGGACGGGUGAGUAAUGUCUGGGAAACUGCCUGAUGGAGGGGGAUAACUACUGGAAACGGUAGCUAAUACCGCAUAACGUCGCAAGACCAAAGAGGGGGACCCUCGGGCCUCUUGCCAUCGGAUGUGCCCAGAUGGGAUUAGCUGGUUGGUGGGGUAACGCCUCACCAAGGCGACGAUCCCUAGCUGGUCUGAGAGGAUGACCGGCCACACUGGAAGUGAAACACGGUCCAGACUCCUACGGGAGGCAGCAGUGGGGAAUAUUGCACAAUGGGCGCAAGCCUGAUGCAGCCAUGCCGCGUGUAUGAAGAAGGCCUUCGGGCUGUAAAGUACUUUCAGCGGGGAGGAAGGGAGUAAAGUUAAUACCUUUGCUCAUUGACGUUACCCGCAGAAGAAGCACCGGCUAACUCCGUG
rnacentral:rRNA from 1 species